GAUGAACGCUGGCGGCGUGCCUAAUACAUGCCAGUCGAGCGAACAGACGAGGAGCUUGCUCCUCUGACGUUAGCGGCGGACGGGUGAGUAACACGUGGAUAACCUACCUAUAAGACUGGGAUAACUUCGGGAAACCGGAGCUAAUACCGGAUAAUAUAUUGAACCGCAUGGUUCAAUAGCGAAAGACGGUUUUGCUGUCACUUAUAGAUGGAUCCGCGCCGCAUUAGCUAGUUGGUAAGGUAACGGCUUACCAAGGCAACGAUGCGUAGCCGACCUGAGAGGGUGAUCGGCCACACUGGAACUGAGACACGGUCCAGACUCCUACGGGAGGCAGCAGUAGGGAAUCUUCCGCAAUGGGCGAAAGCUUGACGGAGCAACGCCGCGUGAGUGAUGAAGGUCUUCGGAUCGUAAAACUCUGUUAUUAGGGAAGAACAAAUGUGUAAGUAACUAUGCACGUCUUGACGGUACCUAAUCAGAAAGCCACGGCUAACUACGUG
rnacentral:rRNA from 1 species